rnacentral:rRNA from 1 species
GAUGAACGCUGGCGGUAUGCUUAACACAUGCAAGCCGAACGGACUCUUCGGAGUUAGUGGCGGACGGGUGAGUAACGCGUGAGAAUCUGGCUUUGGGUUCGGGACAACCACUGGAAACGGUGGCUAAUACCGGAUGUGCCGAGAGGUAAAAGAGAAAUUGCCUGAAGAUGAGCUCGCGUCUGAUUAGCUAGUUGGUGAGGUAAAGGCUCACCAAGGCAGCGAUCAGUAGCUGGUCUGAGAGGAUGACCAGCCACACUGGGACUGAGACACGGCCCAGACUCCUACGGGAGGCAGCAGUGGGGAAUUUUCCGCAAUGGGCGAAAGCCUGACGGAGCAAUACCGCGUGAGGGAAGAAGGCUCUUGGGUUGUAAACCUCUUUUCUUAGGGAAGAACAAAAUGACGGUACCUAAGGAAUCAGCAUCGGCUAACUCCGUG